rnacentral:rRNA from 1 species
AUGUUCUUCUCCACAAAGAUGUGUGUUGCCACCAUCAUGGUGCUAGCCCUGACACUCUCGCCUCAGGGCACCGUUGACGCUGGCCACUUCUCUUCAAACUCCUGGUGGGAGAUCUGUCCAGAGAGGGACAGAAAUAUGUAUGCAUUAGGACGCACCCCUCGCCACUCUGCAAGUGUGUGCCAAGGCAUCAACUUGUGGAUCGCCAGCGUACUGUGCACAGCAGGGAAACUGCCCGUGCGUAGUAACUAG